rnacentral:rRNA from 1 species
AUGGACUACAAAAUUGUUGCACCAUGUCUUGAUGGCAGAAAAGGUGGAUUACUUCUAGUCUGGAAGAAGGAGGUGAGGAUCUACUCCCGGACUACUACCUUUAGUGUCAUCGAUGUGACGGUUGAAGAACGGGAUGGAAGAGAGUGGAGACUCUCAUGCAUAUACGGGGAACCCAGCUGGGAUAAUAAGGACCGUACGUACCGCCUACUACGGGACUUGCAUGCUCACUCUAGCCUCCCAUGGGUUGCCAUUGGCGACUUCAAUGAGAUUCUACUCUCUUCAGAGAAGGAGGGUGGAGCGCCGCGGCAGCAGGCGAGACUUCAAGCCUUCCAAGAUGUGUUGUCUGAUUGUUCCUUGGAGGAUAUAGGAUACCACAGCGAUAAAUUCACAUGGUUCCGAGGUGGCCUAAGGGAACGUUUGGAUCGGGCCGUCUCUAAUGCCGAAUGGAUGGAGAUGCACCCCUUGUGUGGAAUGUGCAACCUUGAUAUGGGGAAAUCGGAUCAUAGACCGAUAUGUCUGGACACUGACUACUUGGCCGGCGUG